CGUGGCGUAUUUUUAAUGAAGAUGGACGCUGCCUGGAGAGAACAGCAAGUCCCGCCUUCAGCUCCUCAUACCGGUGGCCCAGCUCAUAUCAGGUGUCUGAAGGAGGCAGGUUCUGAGGAUUUGUGUUCUGAUGGCUUCUGAAGCUCCUACUCCAGGUUCAAGGGCAGCGGCUUCCAGGAGACCCCAACACUUCACAUUUUUGGUGGCAUGACUCCUGGCUCAAAAUAUGCAUAGAAUCAGAGAUAGACCACACAGCUUUAAGGAACUGAGGCUGACUUUAUGGAGCCAAUAAAGCCCCUUGGAAAACCAGAAGUCUGUUGCCUUGCUUGCAGUAUUCCCAGCAGCUUUCCCAGGUGUGGAAUUGCUGAAUCAUCUGAUAACUCUGUUAAACUGAGGAACUGCCACACUGUUUUCAUGACCCUGACAGCCUUGAGGAGUAUACACAAUUAGUUUACUUGUGAUUAGACUGUGGUUAUUGGCUUUGAGAAAGGAUACCACAGAAAAUGAGUAACUAAGUCUGCCCUGACCUCAGCAGUAGGAGGGGGAAGGUUCACCUCAUGGAAGGAAGUGCAGAGCUCUUUAUGCAGAUGACAGAACCUGUGCCGUUGGGAGGCUGAGAGGAGGCAGCAAAUGAUCGCAGCUCCUCAUACCGGUGGCCCAGCUCAUAUCAGGUGUCUGAAGGAGGCAGGUUCUGAGGAUCUGUGUCCUGAUGGCUCCUGAAGCUCCUACUCCAGGUUCAAGGGCAGCGGCUUCCAGGAAACCCCAACACUUCACAUCUUUAGUGGGAUAUGACUCCAGACUGAAGUUAAUUUCUAGGACAGAGAUCAGAGUUCAGCGGUUGCUAAUUGAUAGACCCUGCCUUCCUACAUAUACAGUUUGAGAUGGGUGAAGCAAUUUCUUAUUGAGCCCCAGGAAGAAGAAAUAGUACAGAAGAGAAAAGAAUAGGAACGGGUCAGCUAGACAGAAGAUGGGAGUCAUGAAACUUGUGUCCCGGUUGCUGGAUCCUUUAACUGACCACAGGGCCUUAGCCUGAAGAUGUAAGGCGUUUUGCUUUCAACUAAAGGUGUGGCGGUAGAGAAGUAUGAGGAGGUAUUUCGCAUCUGGAAGACUUGCCGGCGCCUGGCGGUUGCCGUAGAAACCUGACGUCAAUACGGCGACCGUGACGACAUUUUAAAGGAGACGGACGCUGCCUGGGAGACAGCAGUUGGCUGAAUCUUAUUGUGACGUGGCUGGAUGAUGAAUGAUCUGAGGACCCCUGCACUGGUGACUGGGAACAUGCUCCAGUUCUUCCUGUGAGUGAAUUGAAGACUAACUAGGAGAGCUUCUUAUAAUCCUUUAAAGAAGAACAUUUUUGUGGUAGGUGGAAUUCUAAGAUGGCCCCUAAGAUUCCCACCCUUUGGUGUGCACACCCUGUACAAUAACUUCCCCUUGAUUGUGGGCGGGCUCUGUGAAUAUGAUGGCAAAGGGAUUUUGCAGAUUUUGCUUCUGAGUUAAUCAAAAUAAAAAUUAUCCUGAGUAGACCUGACCUAAUCAGGUUAGCCGUUAAAGGAGGUAAGAAGCAACUGUUGACCUUGAAGACAGUAGUAUAUCUAAGUUGAAAGUGUUUUCCUUAAAAUGUAUAUGGUCCUUACAAUAGAAUAUUAUUAGGCAAUAAAAAGGAAUGUGGUACUGAUACGUGUUACAACACAGAUGAACCUUGAAAACGGCAUACUAAGUGAAAGAAGCCAGCCACAGAAAGCCAUGUGUAUAAUUUCACUUAGUCAUUUAUAUGUAAUAUCCAGAUAGGCAAAUCCCUAGAAAUAGAAAGUAGGUUAGUGUUUGUCAGACACUGGGGAGAGGUAAAUGAGGAGUGACUGCUAAUGGAUACAGGGUUUCUUCUGGGGGUGAUGAAAAUGUUCUCAAAUUAGAUUAUGGUGAUGGAUAGUUGCACAGCUCUGUGAAUAUAUUAAAGAACACUGAAUUAUAUAAUUUAAA